rnacentral:rRNA from 1 species
UGUGUAGGCGGUUGCUUAAGUUUGGUGUGAAAUCUCCCGGCUCAACUGGGAGGGUGCGCCGAAUACUGAGUGACUAGAGUGCGGGAGAGGAAAGUGGAAUUCCUGGUGUAGCGGUGAAAUGCGUAGAUAUCAGGAGGAACACCGGUGGUGUAGACGGCUUUCUGGACCGUAACUGACGCUGAGACACGAAAGCGUGGGUAGCAAACAGGAUUAGAUACCCUGGUAGUCCACGCCCUAAACGAUGCAUAUUUGGUGUGGGUCAUUCAGUUGAUCCGUGCCGGAGCUAACGCGUUAAAUAUGCCGCCUGGGGAGUACAGUCGCAAGGCUGAA